AAGUCUGAUCAUGGCUCAGAUUGAACGCUGCGGGAUGCUUUACACAUGCAAGUCGAACGGCAGCACGGAUCCCUGGUCUGGUGGCGAGUGGCGAACGGGUGAGUAAUGUAUCGGAACGUGCCUAGUAGCGGGGGAUAACUGCUGAAAGUGCAGCCAUAUCGCAGCUACGCCCUUCGGGGGAAAGCGGGGGACCUUCGGGCCUCGCACUAUUAGAGCGGCCGAUAUCGGAUUAGCUAGCUGGUGGGUAACGGCUCACCAAGGCGACGAUCCGUAGCUGGUUUGAGAGGACGACCAGCCACACUGGGACUGAGACACGGCCCAGACUCCUACGGGAGGCAGCAGUGGGGAAUUUUGGACAAUGGGGAAACCCUGAUCCAGCCAUCCCGCGUGCGAUGAAGGCCUUCGGGUUGUAAAGCACUUUUGACAGGAAAACGGCACGGGAUAAUACCCUCGUGCAACUGACGGUACCUGCAGAAUAAGCACCGGCUAACUACGUGCCAGCAGCCGCGGUAAUACGGGUGCAAGCGUUAAUCGGAAUUACUGGGCGUAAAGCGUGCGCAGCAGGCGGUUCGGAAAAGAAAGAUGUGAAAUCCCAGAGCUUAACUUUGGAAACUGCAUUUUAACUACCGAGCUAGAGUGUGUCAGAGGGAGGUGGAAUUCCGUGCGUGUAGUAGUGAAAUGCGUAGAUAUGCGGAGGAACACCGAUGGCGAAGGUGCCUCCCGGGAUAACACUGACCGCUCAUGCACGAAAGCGUGGGGAGUAAACAGGAUUAGAUACCCGGUAGUCCACGCCCUAAACGAUGUCGACUAGCUGUUGGGGCCUUCGGGCCUUGGUAUGCAGCUAACGGGCGGUAGUUGACCGCCUGGGGAGUACGGUCGCAGAUUAAAACUCAAAGGAAUUGACGGGGACCCGCACAAGCGGUGGAUGAUGAUGUGGAUUAAUUCGAUGCAACGCGAAAAACCUUACCUACCCUUGACAUGUCUGGAAUCCCGAAGAGAUUUGGGAGGUCGUAAAGAGCAGAACCGAACACAGGUGCUGCAUGGCUGUCGUCAUCAGUCGUGAGAUGUUGGUUAAGUCCCGUAACGAGCGCAACCCUUGUCAUUAGUUGCUACGAAAGGGCACUCUAAUGAGACUGCCGGUGACAAACCGGAGGAAGGUGGGGAUGACGUCGUCCUCAUGGCCCUUAUGGGUAGGGCUUCACACGUCAUACAAUGGUCGGGACAGAGUCGCCAACCCGCGAGUGGGGAGCCGUCCCAGAAACCCGAUCGUAGUCCGGAUCGCAGUCUGCAACUCGACUGCGUGAAGUCGGAAUCGCUAAUCGCGGAUCAGCAUGUCGCGGUGAAUACGUUCCCGGGUCUUGUACACACCGCCCGUCACACCAUGGGAGUGGGUUUACCAGAAGUAGUUAGCCUAACCGUAAGGAGGGCGAUUACCACGGUAGGAUUCAUGACUGGGGUGAAGUCGUACAAGGCAA
rnacentral:rRNA from 1 species